GUGAAUGUGUGGCUCUGCUGCCUCUACCUCCAUUCCAGAACAGCUCGCUCACACACCUCUACUUGCUGUGAGGUGCUAUAUGUCCCGUGUUUCUAGACACAGCGUGCCUCCUGUUGACUCUCUCCAGAAUCGCAGCCUUGCGCAACACUACAGAACCAACCUGGAGUCUCAGACAAAAGACAUUUCUGGUUAAUGAGCUCUGCCAUCUGGGAUCUGGCUUUUGACUUGGCUUGUCCCUCCUCCAAAAGAGCAUCUCUUUGUGGAACCAUUUUCCCUGUGGACUCUAGGUUUUGUUUUCAUCCGUCCUUCUCAGUGAGUCUACAUGACGAAAAAUCUUUGCGUGAAUCUGUUUCCAGAACGCAGUACCCUGAACCCAGUUUCUCCAUAAACACUCAGGAUGUCACUUACAAGGUCAACAAUCCACUCUCUCCUGGAACAUCACAAGAUCGGUUCAUUAAAUUUGCUUGCUGUGUUGUUUUUUAAAUAUAAGAAUCACAAGGCACUGUAAACAAAAACCAGGUGGCAUCUGAAAGGUGAAAAUUCUGCUUCCUUUCUGGCAAACACUGCGCCUUCAAAC
rnacentral:lncRNA from 1 species